CGUCGUUAGCGACUUCUCCCUGAAUAUCAACACUCAACCUAAGUUUCCGGUGAACAGUCGCCGUUAAUUCUACCGGGUAAUAUAUACGGUACGAAAUCCGAUUUUGUUUUCAGCUGUGAGUGAGAUUUAUGAGGUCAUCAAUAUGGGUGACUUACCAUGUCCACCAUAUUCUAACAAAAGAUUGGAGGCGCGGAUGAUUAGCAAGGAAAAGCUACCGAAGAUUUGUUUAGUUGCCUCUGCUACAAAGCACUUCUCAGCAAAGACUUUGAAAUGUAUUAGUAAAGUGAAACAGAGUGUACAGACUAGUGGAACUGCUGGUGAUGUUGUCAUAUUCUUGGCUACCACUGCUGUUUUAGAGGUUGUACGAAGGCUGAGCAAAGCUAGAUGUCCUUUUAUUUGGCACGGUUUGCAGGCGCUGCAAGCUUUGUGUUAUCCACCGUUUAAGUGGGUCCAAAAGUGGGUUCCUUUGGAGCCAUUGGUCAGACAAUUGCAGAAAUUGUCUAGGCCAAUGCUAUUGCUCUCAAUUGCAACUGUUUUCUCCGAUCAGUCAUCAUCUACAGGAGAAACGACACCGAACGACUUUCAUCAUUCUCAAGCAUAUCCACAAGCAAGAUCUCAUGAUGAAGUACAGGAUGAUGGUUAUCCUCAAAGAUGGUUGCUAGAACUCCAUAAGGAACUGAGGGAGGAAAGUAUUAGUGUACCUGAGAGGUUGAAUGAUGAUGAGCUCCGUCAAUUCUAUGCUGCUGCAAAUGGUGAUUUUGCUAGGCUGCUUUCAUCAGUUAAGAAAACCAUUAAAUGGCGGCAGAAUUACACGUUUCUUUCACCAGAAGAACUUAAGGCUUGGUCUCCUUUCAUUUUUUGGCACGGCCACGAUGCCAAUCAACGGCCUUGCCUCAUCAUUCGCCUUGGACUUGCUUGCUCCAACCUGAGAUCGAAUGGCAAAUCUCUCUUGAUAAAAGCAGUUGUUUCGCAGAUUGAGCACGGUAUUCUGAGAAUGGUCAAUGUGGAACACCCUCAAAUAACUGUCUUGAUGGACUGUGAAGGACUCUCUCCCUUUGGUUUUCCCAUACACAUGAUGAGAUCUUGUGCUAUGCUCUUGCAGGAUCAUUAUCCUAAUCGUCUUAGCUCUUUGAUUAUAGUUCGGCUCCCUCAAGUUGCCCAAAUAAUAAUGCAAACUUUCUUUCAGGUGCUUAAACCAUCCACACGUCAAAAAGUGAGAAUUAUUGGGAGAAACCAUCUAGAGUUUCUAUCCAAUCACCUCAAUUCAAUACCUCCGUUUCUCGGUGGAAACUGCUCAUGUUCAAAAUGCUCAGACCAGACGGAUGCAGAAAGUGAAUCUGAUGAAGCUACAAGGACAGAUCGAACACCUGAUCAAGCGAGCAGACCUGAAACACCUGAUCAUACGAAUGAAUCCAAUGAGGUCACUCCGACAGAACCAGCCGCUGAUCAAGUGAAAGAUAGCCCUGAGUUUAAUCAUCACAACGUCUCCAACACGAGUGUCUACAGAGAAGAACUGAUAAAGACCAUAUUCAUCGGUAUACUUAUGGUGUGGGUAUUCAUUGCUGUGAUUGUGGCUAUGGAUUAUCCAGAAAGAUGGCCUCUUUUGCGUUCGACUUAGAUAAUAAUAAGAUUUGUGCUUCCUAUGCAGAAUCACAAAAAUCUGCACUCUCACAAGCAGUAGCUUUCUUCUUUAGUUCAUUUUUAGUUAAGACAUUGUG
rnacentral:misc_RNA from 1 species